UACGUAGGGGGCAAGCGUUGUCCGGAAUCAUUGGGCGUAAAGAGCGUGUAGGCGGCUCGAUAAGUCUGCUGUGAAAGUCCAGGGCUCAACCCUGGAAGGCCGGUGGAAACUGUCGGGCUAGAGUCCGGAAGAGGCGAGUGGAAUUCCCGGUGUAGCGGUGAAAUGCGCAGAUAUCAGGAGGAACACCGGUGGCGAAGGCGGGUCUCUGGGCCGUAACUGACGCUGAGGAGCGAAAGCGUGGGGAGCGAACAGG
rnacentral:rRNA from 1 species